UGUUGAGAUUAUAAUAAAAGAUUAUGUGUGAUUCUUUCCUUUCGUAUUUGAUUAUUUCUUUCUUAGUCUGAUUGUAAUCUUAAUUAUAGGGAUCGUAUAGAGUAAUUUUAGGAAGUUCUCCUAUAUAUAUCUGUGUAUAUUGACACAAGAAUAUCAAUGGAAAAUAUUAUUUUAUCAUCUUACAAGAUGGUACCAGAGCCAUGAAAAAAAAAAUUUAAUGAAGCAUAUGUUGAUUUACAUAUUGUCUUUCUAUAUUUU
rnacentral:lncRNA from 1 species